rnacentral:lncRNA from 1 species
CAGGCAUUGGAAGUGAAUAGGUAUUUUAAAAUAGCAUUAAUCAUCAAAAUAAAACAAUAUUAUUAAAUUAAUGUUCCUGAAACAAGGCACAGAGUCAUAAACAGUUGCCAUUUAAACACAGUUGAUUAAAUAAAUUGUGCUAAUUCAAUUAAGUUAAUUGUUUUAUCAUGUACUACAUUGUUUAAAAAACACAUAUUAAAAGAG